CCUACGGGAGGCAGCAGUGGGGAAUAUUGGACAAUGGGCGCAAGCCUGAUCCAGCAAUGCCGCGUGAGUGAUGAAGGCCUUAGGGUUGUAAAGCUCUUUCGCACGCGACGAUGAUGACGGUAGCGUGAGAAGAAGCCCCGGCUAACUUCGUGCCAGCAGCCGCGGUAAUACGAAGGGGGCUAGCGUUGUUCGGAAUUACUGGGCGUAAAGGGCGCGUAGGCGGCCUGUUUAGUCAGAAGUGAAAGCCCCGGGCUCAACCUGGGAAUAGCUUUUGAUACUGGCAGGCUUGAGUUCCGGAGAGGAUGGUGGAAUUCCCAGUGUAGAGGUGAAAUUCGUAGAUAUUGGGAAGAACACCGGUGGCGAAGGCGGCCAUCUGGACGGACACUGACGCUGAGGCGCGAAAGCGUGGGGAGCAAACAGGAUUAGGAUACCCUGGUACGUCCACGCCGUAAACGAUGAAUGCUAGACGUCGGGGUGCAUGCACUUCGGUGUCGCCGNUAACGCAUUAAGCAUUCCGCCUGGGGAUACGGCCGNAAGGUUAAAACUUAANGAAUUGACGG
rnacentral:rRNA from 1 species